AACGAACGCUGGCGGCAGGCUUAACACAUGCAAGUCGAACGCCCCGCAAGGGGAGUGGCAGACGGGUGAGUAACGCGUGGGAAUCUACCCAAUUCUUCGGAGCAACUGAGGGAAACUUCAGCUAAUACCGGAUACGCCCUACGGGGGAAAGGAUUUAUCGGAAUUGGAUGAGCCCGCGUUGGAUUAGCUAGUUGGUGAGGUAAUGGCUCACCAAGGCGACGAUCCAUAGCUGGUCUGAGAGGAUGAUCAGCCACACUGGGACUGAGACACGGCCCAGACUCCUACGGGAGGCAGCAGUGGGGAAUAUUGGACAAUGGGCGCAAGCCUGAUCCAGCCAUGCCGCGUGAGUGAUGAAGGCCUUAGGGUUGUAAAGCUCUUUUCAGGUAGGGAAGAUAAUGACGGUA
rnacentral:rRNA from 1 species